rnacentral:hammerhead_ribozyme from 1 species
ACCUAGCUGACGAGUCCCGAAUAGGACGAAGCGACGUGCGUCCUGGAU